rnacentral:rRNA from 1 species
GACGAACGCUGGCGGCGUGCUUAACACAUGCAAGUCGAACGGGCCCGCCCCUGUUUUUGGGGGUGGGUUGAGUGGCGAACGGGUGAGUAUCACGUGAGUAACCUGCCCCCUGCUCCUGGAUAACUGCUUGAAAGGGCGGCUAAUACGGGGUGUGCCGGCUGGUCCGCAUGGGCCUGGUCGGGAUAGUUUCAUCUUCGGGUGUUUCGGUGGGGGAUGGGCUCGCGGCCUAUCAGCUUGUUGGUGGGGUGAUGGCCCACCAAGGCGGUGACGGGUAGCCGGCCUGAGAGGGUGGGCGGCCACACUGGGACUGAGACACGGCCCAGACUCCGGCGGGAGGCAGCAGUGGGGGGUAUUGCACAAUGGGCGGAAGCCUGAUGCAGCGACGUCGCGUGAGGGAUGGAGGCCUUCGGGUUGUGAACCUCUUUCUCCGGUGGUGAAGGCCCUGUCCGUUGCGGCGGGGUUGACGGUAGCCGGGUAUGAAGCGCCGGCUAACUACGUG